rfam:Pan troglodytes isolate Yerkes chimp pedigree #C0471 (Clint) chromosome X, whole genome shotgun sequence.
UUUUUAGUAUAAAUAUGUCCUAUCCAAUGUUUGGGACAUACUUAUACUAAAA